rnacentral:misc_RNA from 1 species
GAUGAAGAACGUAGCGAAACGCGAUAUGUAAUGUGAAUUGCAGAAUUCAGUGAAUCAUCGAAUCUUUGAACGCACAUUGCGCCCAUUGGCAUUCCGAUGGGCAUGCCUGUUCGAGCGUCAUUAUCCUCCCUCAAACCCCUGGGUUUGGUGUUGGACUGUGUGGUGCCUGGCACCACUGGUCUCAAAGACAAUGACGGCGUCCGUGGGACCCUCGGUGCAACGAGCUUUUCGAAGCACGCGUCGAGUGGACAGUCUCUCCGGGCCGGUCACCUCUCCAAUUUUUCUCAGGUUGACCUCGGAUCAGGUAGGAAUACCCGCUGAACUUAAGCAUAUCAAUAAGCGGAGGA